UACGUAGGGUGCGAGCGUUGUCCGGAAUUAUUGUGCGUAAAGAGCUCGUCGGCGGUGUGUCACGUCGGCCGUGAAAACCUGGGGCUUAACUCUGGGCGUGCGGUCGAUACGGGCAGACUAGAGUUCGGUAGGGGAGACUGGAAUUCCUGGUGUAGCGGUGAAAUGCGCAGAUAUCAGGAGGAACACCGGUGGCGAAGGCGGGUCUCUGGGCCGAUACUGACGCUGAGGAGCGAAAGCGUGGGGAGCGAACAGG
rnacentral:rRNA from 1 species